rnacentral:rRNA from 1 species
AUACGUAGAGGGCGAGCGUUGUCCGGAAUUACUGGGCGUAAAGGGUGUGCAGGCGGAUAAUCAAGUCAAAUGUGAAAGGUGUCGGCUUAACUGACAGAGUGCAUUUGAAACUGGCUAUCUUGAGUACAGGAGAGGAGAGUGGAAUUCCUGGUGUAGCGGUGGAAUGCGUAGAUAUCAGGAAGAACACCAGUGGCGAAGGCGAUUCUCUGGCCUGUAACUGACGCUCAUGCACGAAAGCUGGGGUAGCGAACGGGAUUAGAUACCCCGGUAGUCCCAGCUGUAAACGAUGGACACUAGGUGUUGGGGGUUCGACUCCCUCAGUGCCGGAGUUAACGCGCUAAGUGUCCCGCCUGGGGAAUACGGCCGCAAGGUUGAA